CAGUAGCCGCGGUAAUACCGAGGGUGCGAGCGUUAAUCGGAUUUACUGGGCGUAAAGCGUGCGUAGGCGGCUUCUUAAGUCGGAUGUGAAAUCCCUGAGCUUAACUUAGGAAUUGCAUUCGAUACUGGGAAGCUAGAGUAUGGGAGAGGAUGGUAGAAUUCCAGGUGUAGCGGUGAAAUGCGUAGAGAUCUGGAGGAAUACCGAUGGCGAAGGCAGCCAUCUGGCCUAAUACUGACGCUGAGGUACGAAAGCAUGGGGAGCAAACAGGAUUAGAUACCCGCGUAGUCCCUGUCUCUUAUAA
rnacentral:rRNA from 1 species